rnacentral:rRNA from 1 species
CCUACGGGGGGCUGCAGUGGGGAAUAUUGCGCAAUGGGCGAAAGCCUGACGCAGCAACGCCGCGUGCGGGAUGACGGCCUUCGGGUUGUAAACCGCUUUCACCCAUGACGAAGGGUUUCUGACGGUAGUGGGAGAAGAAGCACCGGCUAACUACGUGCCAGCAGCCGCGGUGAUACGUAGGGUGCGAGCGUUGUCCGGAAUUAUUGGGCGUAAAGAGCUUGUAGGCGGUUUGUUGCGUCGGGAGUGAAAACUCAGGGCUUAACCCUGAGCCGGCUCUCGAUACGGGCAGACUUGAGGAAGGUAGGGGAGAACGGAAUUCCUGGUGGAGCGGUGGAAUGCGCAGAUAUCAGGAGGAACACCAGUGGCGAAGGCGGUUCUCUGGACCUUAUCUGACGCUGAGAAGCGAAAGCGUGGGGAGCAAACAGGCUUAGAUACCCCAGUAGUC